GCCCAUUCAUCAUUUCACCUGUGGGGAAUACAAUACAAUGGUGUCUUCCCUGAACAGUGUUAGUGACGUUGCACGUUUGAACGAUGUCACCGUCCACGUGAAUUUUGUACCUAGGCAAUUUGUCUGACAAUGUGAUAGAUUGAGUUUGCGUUUGCAAAACUUGCCGUCCCUGAUGGAGAGAAAAGGCUGCCAGUAUGUAUCGAUACAACCUGCAAGCAUAAAACUGAGGAUAAACGUGGAGCAAUGUCGUCAACUGAGGCACCACAUGAAUCCUGGGAGGGAGAGCAGGUUACGGAGCAGGAACAUCCCGUGAGCUCCUCCGUGUGUUUACUGCAGGAGACGGUGUACCACAGGUUCGUCACUUUUCCGUCUGUGAGCCAGUGAGGACCCGGCUCUUCUGAAUCUUCCAGUGCUGCAGGCUUGCGGUGGCGAGGUUGCCGCAAGCCCGUUACUGGCAGGGAAUGCUGAGAAAUUAGUAACCUAGAUAAAAUAAAAACUAAUAAUAAAAAAUGGUGAAGGCGUCUGCUGAUUUCAGUGCGUGCCUGGGAAUUCUGGGAUGGCUGGGAGUUCUUGAACACUGACGGCAGGACGUGCCAGACCCAGACUGGCCGCCGUGCUUUCUGGUCUCUCAGAUUUUUUUGAAGGCUGGAUGAGGAGAUAGAUUCAGUAUCUGGAGCAGAAGCACACACGCACACACACACACUGACACACACAUACGCACACGCACAAAACACAAACACAGACACACACACAGCCACAGGCACAAACUCACAAAUGCAAAUACACACACACACACACACACACACACACAGACAGAAGGACACAAACACACACACACAGGCACAAAUACAGACACAGACACACACACAGCCACAGGCACAAACACACAGAUGCAACUACACACACACACACACAGACACACACACACACGCACACAGAUGCAAACAUACACACAGACACACACACACACACACACACACACAGGGAGGAGAAUGAGAGGGUGAGGCAUGCACCACGGAUUUUAAAACAAAAGCAGACGAUGCUAUGUUUCUGAGGACAUUGAGCUCAACUGGGGAACGCCUUACAUUGCCGCCACCAGCAGGGAUUUUUAACAAUUAGCGACUGUGCAAGUGAGAGAGAGGCCUGGCACUGCAAUGCAAACUUUGUCAAAGUCUGUCAAGAACCCCUCUCUGUGGUUUUUCCACUUUUGUUUUCACAUUGACUUGCCGUCAUUGACUUCCUCCGCCAACAACAAGAAGAAAAAAAAAACGUUAAAUAUAAAUCUGAGUCAUAACUGUGAUUUUUCAGAAUUUCCUGCAGGAGAGACUGUGAUGUGAUUUUUCAGAACCUGGCAUUGUUGUUAUGUUUCAUGUCCGAGUGCUUUCUGGGUGACGUCAAACAGCCGGCCACUAGACCACCUCCUUGUCCUAAUUGUAUAAAGAGGUGCUUGCCGCCACAUAUUUAGUUUUUUCUUUGUGUGCGGGCAGUGCACGUGUGUGUGUGUGUGUGUGUGUGAGAGAGACAGAGAGAGAGAGAGAGAGCAGUAUACACACGUCCUUGUCGAUCCCAGGAGAAUGGGAUACAGAUAGACGAGGCCAAAUCUGACGGUGUGACUAAUUCGCAGAACAGUUUUUUAAAGCAGAAAGUGGCAGGACGCUGUGUGAAUCACAGGCGUUCUCCCGUCCCCGCCGGGCUGCAGUGAACGUGAGUCUGGCGCUGGAAGCACCCGGCAGGCACGGGCUCACUCUUAUAUGGAGUGCCUUUCCGAGGUGUGGCACGUGGCACCAAGGCGAGGAUGAAGGUGAGGUAGGCUGCAGGAGAAAAAAAACUGACACGGGGAAGAAGGCUGCGUGAUACACAGUAAAAAGUCCCCGUGUUAAAUCGACUCUUGGAGAGUAUGGUGCCUAUUGGAGUCAUAUGUCCUCUGUUAGACCUGGAUUAACGCUGCAUAUUUUACAGUGUAAUGAGUUAAGCACAACUUUUUUAGCACAGCUUUUCAGUUUUAUCUGAAAUAGAUUUGUCCUUGAGUGUGAACUUUUGACUUGAAUAAAUGCAAACCUUUAUUUCUUCUUUCUUUCUUUGUUUUGGAGAUUUCUGAACACGCCCCACCGCCUUGGUGGGGGAAAAGUUUAUUAUUAUUGUGAGAGAGAUUUAAGGAUAAAAAUAUUGUUUGUAUCCAGGCUGCGGUCUUCUAGUCCCUGACUGGAAUCACUUCUUCUGUGGUGAAGAAGGCUACGUGUCACAUGACACCAUCAUUGCUCUUGGCAUCUAGGGAAAACAUUCUGACCUGGAUUCGAUCAACAUUUGUCUGUAGCGACUCUGACUUAUAAAAACUGUAAGUGUAACUUUGUCUUCAGAAGAAUCAAGUCCAUUUCAGUGGCCACAAUGUGUUUGCAAGGAGUGAAAUGAACAGUUGCAUUUAAAUGUGAGUGAAAGGUCGAAUGUAGAUUGAAUCCUGGCCUAAAUAAACUUGACUUGACUCGACAGUGGUCUUGGUAGGUAUAGCUGGAAUAGUAGGACUGGAGGGAGGAAGAAGAACAAGCAAUAUGACCGUGGUCAGGAUUCAAUCAAAAUGUGUACUUUUACUUCAACUGUAUAAUAAGAUGUAUUAAAAGUGUUUUGUUCUUUUGUCAGAAGGACAGUUGGGCAAAUUAAUUCUGUCAGUUCUUCUUUUUUUUUGUUGCAAACUCAAUUCAUGGGGGGAAAAAAACAAACAAACAAAUUACAUUCAAAUAUGAUCCAAAUGGAACAAAAAAUGUUGAUUGUUCACUGGCACAGAAAUUUUGGCUUCAUGUAUACACAUGCAGGCUAUGUAGAAGCAGAGGCUUCUGCAUUGUGCCUGGUACAGCGUAAGAUAUUUCUAAGAUUAUUUGAGUUCACCUGCUAGUACCUUUUUUCCAGAUUCAAUAUGCAGGAUAUAGGUGUCAAAUCUUCUAUGACACAUGAACUGAUUAAAGUGUAAAGUUUUGAGUAAUAAUUCAGUGCUGACAGGCUCUGGCGUGUUCUGUUCCCUUUGGGCAGUCUAUGUCUGGGACACAGAAUACUUACACGGAAGAAAGCAAGCCCAAAAAAUUCUCUGCUAACUUUGGCUGUAUUUAUUGUUAAGUGUUGAGGUGGCAUGCUUCUUUAUUUUGUAUUUCUCAGUAUACGAAGAUACGCUUGAGAAAAGUUGUGUUUGACACAAAAAAAAAAAAAAAAAAACUGUAAGCAAUUGCACUCAAUGGGCUAAUGAGAUCGUUAUCCCUAUUCAGUUGUUAGCCUUAGUUUGGACUUUAGCAUUUCACUGGAGAAAAAAAAAAAAGUUCUAAUGUCCAUCUGGAGAAUGGACAAUCUAACAUAAGGUUCGUAAUGCAAUUAAAAUAAAUUUAAUUGCCUCUGCUUUUCUCCCCAAUUAAUGGGGCUUAAUGACGGUUGAGGGUCAAUAACCACGGCUGACAUUUAAGACUCUGUGAGCCGAACGUUCUGUUGCCAUUUAAGAGCAGGGAAAUGUAAUAAAUAAAUACAAGCUGCACUAGGAGACCUCAUUAAGCCAUUCGUGAGACAGCAGUGCCUUUAAAACAGUGUUCAUACGCAUACAUAUUACUGUUUGAUGUCCCGUUUCAUGAAUAUUAGCAUUUUUAUUUUAGCGCGAAGGAAGUCGAGGCUGGUGGAGGGCUGGAGAUUCCAGCUGAGACGAUGGCUCAAUCAUCCCGGCCAAUCACUUCGCUCUCUCUGCUGUCAAACACAAUAGUGCAGUGAAUUAUGCCAUUUUUUCCUUUUCUCCCUCCCAACAUGCACAGUUUUCCAGGGGUCAAGAAGCCUACUUCCUGCUGGUACCUUCCAUAGGGAAGCUUUUAGGCUUGUUUGAAUGUGCUGCUCUGCAACAAAGAAAUGCUGAUUUCAACAGCGUUAUGUUCUGUUGCCUUUCCCUUUCCCUUCAACUCUUUGUUCCAGCAAAUACUCUCUGUCAUUGGAUGUGUGCGCGUGUCGGAACGAGCAUAUUUGUGUGUGUGCAUGUUUGCAUGUGUGCAUGGGAAACUGUACACAAUGUACCAAAGGCAGAGUUCUAAAAAUGAACCAACGUCGUGUUUUAGUCUGGCUUGCAUGUCAGUUGCCCAGGCCACAAAGGGCUGCUGGGUAAUUCCUCCUCAACCCUUACCUGCGCACCGCUGCCCGUCACCUCUGCUCUGUCACCGCUAGUAACGCAGGAACGGCCCGUGGCUCUGUAGGGUCUGCAGGCCUUGGCUGCGACUCAGCUCUUCAAGUCCACACGUUGCGCACGUCUUCCCCACCCUCCCGCUCAUGGGAAACGAGGAGGGGCUGAGAAUCUACGACUUUGCUAAAAGGCCCCGCGUCGAACAGAUGGCUUUGGGAAGAAAUACGGGCGAGCGAUUGGGCCACGAGCUUUAAAAUUGCGGAAACGCGCGUCGCGAGGUAUCAUUAGACGAGCGAAACGGAAAAGAACAUAUGGGGCCGGGAGGAUGAAACAAUAGCGCUAAGCCGAGAUGACUUUUUCGUCAUUUCACGCUAACGGAAACUCACACACUUUUCUUUGCUCAAACACAGCAUAACACCAUUUCCCAGACACCUGCAGAAAAUUCUAA